rnacentral:rRNA from 1 species
GUGGGGAAUUUUGGACAAUGGGGGCAACCCUGAUCCAGCAAUGCCGCGUGCAGGAAGAAGGCCUUCGGGUUGUAAACUGCUUUUGUACGGAACGAAACGGUCUGGGUUAAUACCCUGGGCUAAUGACGGUACCGUAAGAAUAAGCACCGGCUAACUACGUGCCAGCAGCCGCGGUAAUACGUAGGGUGCGAGCGUUAAUCGGAAUUACUGGGCGUAAAGCGUGCGCAGGCGGUUUUGUAAGACAGGCGUGAAAUCCCCGGGCUCAACCUGGGAAUGGCGCUUGUGACUGCAAAGCUGGAGUGCGGCAGAGGGGGAUGGAAUUCCGCGUGUAGCAGUGAAAUGCGUAGAUAUGCGGAGGAACACCGAUGGCGAAGGCAAUCCCCUGGGCCUGCACUGACGCUCAUGCACGAAAGCGUGGGGAGCAAACAGGAUUAGAAACCCGGGUAGUCC